AACAAAGUUAUUUAUUGAGUUUGUUUUGUCAAUUUUGAUUUUGUCACUGGUUUUGGAGAACGAAGUUGAAGCAGCGCCGGAGCCAUGUGGCGAAUUCUUCAGAAUGCUGAAACACGAGCCGGCAAAAGACGACAUAAAAGAUAAAGAGGAAGAAAAGAAGAAGAGGAAGGAAAAGAAAAGAAAAGAAACAUUAAAACUUAU